ACUCCUACGGGAGGCAGCAGUGGGGAAUAUUGCACAAUGGGCGCAAGCCUGAUGCAGCCAUGCCGCGUGUAUGAAGAAGGCCUUCGGGUUGUAAAGUACUUUCAGCAGUGAGGAAGGUGAGUCGUUAAUUAAGCGGCCUCAUUUGACGUUUAGCUGCAGAAGAAGACACCGCGUAACUCCGUGCCAGCAGCCGCGGUAAUACGGAGGGUGCGAGCGUUAAUCGGAAUUACUGGGCGUAAAGCGCAUGCAGGUGGUUUGUUAAGUCAGAUGUGAAAGCCCGGGGCUCAACCUCGGAAUAGCAUUUGAAACUGGCAGACUAGAGUACUGUAGAGGGGUAGAAUUUCAGGUGUAGCGGUGAAAUGCGUAGAGAUCUGAAGGAAUA
rnacentral:rRNA from 1 species